AUUGAACGCUGGCGGCAGGCCUAACACAUGCAAGUCGAGCGGAUGAGGGGAGCUUGCUCCUUGAUUCAGCGGCGGACGGGUGAGUAAUGCCUAGGAAUCUGCCUGGUAGUGGGGGAUAACGUUCCGAAAGGAACGCUAAUACCGCAUACGUCCUACGGGAGAAAGCAGGGGACCUUCGGGCCUUGCGCUAUCAGAUGAGCCUAGGUCGGAUUAGCUAGUUGGUGAGGUAAUGGCUCACCAAGGCGACGAUCCGUAACUGGUCUGAGAGGAUGAUCAGUCAUACUGUAACUGAGACACGGUCCAGGCUCCUACGGGAGGCAGCAGUGGGGAAUAUUGGACAAGGGGCGAAAGGCUGAUCCAGCCAUGCCGCGUGUGUGAAGAAGGUCUUCGGAUUGUAAAGCACUUUAAGUUGGGAGGAAGGGCAGUAAGUUAAUACCUUGCUGUUUUGACGUUACCAACAGAAUAAGCACCGGCUAACUUCGUGCCAGCAGCCGCCGUAACAC
rnacentral:rRNA from 1 species